UAUCAAAACAGGUUACUGGGAGAGCAAGGAAUUGUAUUAAAGAUUGAAUUUUAAAAAGCUUUUGACAGAUGGAAUUGGACUUCAUUUUCUAAGUGCUGCUCAACAGGGGGUUUCCUCCCCUACGGGCUCAAUGAAUCAAGAAUUUAAUAUUCUUCUUGUAAACUUAGUGUUCUGGUAAACAAACAGGCAGUAAGCUAGAUUCUAUGCUGCAUACGGGUGGCCUCCUCUCUGCUCUCCUCUUCAUGAUUGCAAU
rnacentral:lncRNA from 1 species